GUGAAGUUAGAGCGCGUCACUGAUAAUGACGAGGUCCCAGGUUCGAGUCCUGGAUCGCGCA
rnacentral:tRNA from 1 species